rnacentral:rRNA from 1 species
UAAUACGAGGGGGGCAAGCGUUGUUCGGAAUUAUUGGGCGUAAAGGGCGCGUAGGCGGUUUGACAAGUCUGAUGUGAAAUCUCUGGGCUCAACCCAGAGUCUGCAUUAGAAACUGUCGGGCUUGAGUAUGGGAGAGGUGAGUGGAAUUUCCGGUGUAGCGGUGAAAUGCGUAGAUAUCGGAAGGAACACCUGUGGCGAAAGCGGCUCACUGGACCAUAACUGACGCUGAGGCGCGAAAGCUAGGGGAGCAAACAGGAUUAGAUACCCUGGUAGUCCUAGCCCUAAACGAUGAUUGCUUGAUGUGACAGGUACCCAAUCCUGUCGUGUCGAAGCUAACGCGAUAAGCAAUCCGCCUGGGGAGUACGGUCGCAAGGCUG